AAUCGUGGACCUGAAGAAAGGGAAAAGAAAACAGGGACCUAAUGUCCUCUGCGUUGAUGGCGGCAACUACAUUGUUGACAUGCUGCCUCUCUCCGCUGGCGCAGUCGGGCGAUUGAUGCGCUUGAGGAUCGCCAUUGCUCGAGAUCGUUCUCGUCGAGUUAUACGAAUCAGCAUCUUCUUUAUUUAUUUGCUCUCUCCUUCGAGUUAUACGAAUCGGCAUCUUCUUAAUUUAUUCGCUCUCUCCUUCGUUCUCGUCGAGUUAUAUGAAUCGGCAUCUUCUUUAUUUCUUCGCUCUCUCCUUAUACAUCCUCUUCUUUUUUAUAGAUCCUUAUUCUGUCGACCCCUUCUCGUGCCCUAAUUGCUAAGGUGGCAGAAAAAUAUUCCGCGGAUUUUCAAUCCACACCAGAAGUCAGUCGGCGAUCAAGACCUAAUGAUGCUAGUUUUCACUGGAGGGAAGCAGAGGAGUGCAAGUGAGUAGCAGUUCGCAUUUCAAGGUUUCUCAAAUGUCAACUUCAAACCUCUCCCCACACGAGGCAUUCAAGUAAGAAAAAUCUUUGCAUAAUGGAGAAAGUCUCAUUGUCAGCAUCUUAUGGCUAGCCUUAGUGAUGACGGUGGAAGAGACUUUUGAUGAUGUUAUCAUGAGGCAGGGAUGCCAACUUAUUGAAGUUCAGAGUGACAUUAAGAAAGUUAAAGGUUCACCCACCAAGAGAAAUCUGUAAAAGAUCAUACCAAUAAGAAUCCAACUGCUCUAAGAUAAUAUCAUCAGGUUGAGUAUGGACCCUUACAAAAGAAGAGAUUGCAAAGUAAGUUUUAAAAUAAAGACUUCAUCAAAAGUUAUUGUUGAUGGUGCAAUGCCACUGGUGUUAACAUUAGAUUAGCAUACCAAAUCAGCUAGAAAUAGAAAAACUGUACAAUACAAGUUUUUCAUUUCAAAGGGUGCAUAAUAAGAGAAGAUCAAGCUUGCAAAGUUUGACCCGCAACUGCACUUUUCUAUUUAACAUUUUUUAAGUCUAAAAUCCAGUGGCCCAGACAUGAAAGCGAAGGAUGAAAAUCCAUCGAGGGAGUUACUGUCAACAAUGACAUGGGCAGAUGGUAAGGAGGAGGUUUCGGGAGCUGUUGGUGUCCAUCACGUGAGGGUGUAACUCCGCCUUAUAAAGGUCAUAAUCAUUAAGUUUCCUAUUGUGAACAACCUUACUAUGGAGGCGCUAGAUAGCUAUCAUAUGAUGCUCUCUCUCGCUGAAUCGUUUUCUACUCCAUUUGUGAUCAAGGCAAUCAUCAAACUGGGAAUACCCAAUAUUCUGGCGAAGUCGGACAAGCCAAUCCACGUUGAUGAGAUGUGUACCAUUCUCCAAGCUGCAACAGGCCAGGCUCACAACUCGGAAAUUGUUCGAAGGCUCAUGCAAUCUCUUUGCAGGAAGAACAUAUUUGAAGAGCAGCCCGCUGGAGUCUUUGGGCACAACUCUCUAUCGCGCUGGCUCAUAGACGGCACUCCAAAAUCGCUCGCAUCCUUCUUCCUGUUGACAACCUCAGAGGCAGGGCAAGCUGCUUGGCACCAUCUGCACGAACUGGCUUUGGAAGUGACUUCGUCUUCAACUUCUGCAUUUGCUAAGGCUCAUGGGAAAAGCAUCUUUGAAUUUGCUGCGAACGACCCUGUUUUUGCAGACUUAUGGUUCGGAUUUCUUGAUAGCUUUGGUCACAUCAUCAUCAACGGGGUGCUGGAAGGCUACGAUGGUUUCCAAAGCGUUGCUCAAGUUCUUGUAGAUGUUGGAGGGGGCACUGGCCUGAGUGUGUCAAAGAUUGUGCAAGCCUUUCCACACAUCAAGGGAGUGAACUUUGAUCUUCCACAUACAAUUGCAAGUGGCACUCAAAACUUUCCAGGUUCUCUCUCUCUCUCUCUCUCUCUAAUCUUUCUUUGAAAUUUAGGAGUAGAACAUAUUGCUGGGGACAUGUUUGAGUCCGUUCCAAAAGGGGAUGCGAUAUACAUGCAGGUGCGUGUAAGCUCAAGAUAAAAGACCCUGAGAGCUUUAGAAUCUGCAGAAAGUUUUGCACAAUUGGAACGACGAAAAGGCUAAAGCUGUACUCAAAAACUGCUACAAUGCACUGCCAGUCGGUGGGAAAAUCAUAAUCGUGGACCAUAUAUUCGAUCCACACCAGAAGGCAGUCGUCGAUCAAGACCUGGGGAUGCUAGUUUUCACUGGAGGGAAACAGAGGAGUGCAAGCGAGUGGAGAGAGCUGCUCGCGUCGCAAGGUUUCUCAAACGUCAACUUCAAACCUCUCCCCGCAGUCAAGUCUCAAGCUGUCAUCGAGGCAUUCAAGUAACAAAGACCUCUGCAUAAUGGACCAAGUCUCACCCAUGAAAAAAUAAAUAAAUAAAUUCUGUAAGAGAUCAUACCCAUCUCUAAUAAGAAUCCUGCUUCUCUAAGAUAAUAACCAUCGGAUAAUAGUUAUGACCGU
rnacentral:lncRNA from 1 species